AUAAACGCUGGCGGCGUGCUUAACACAUGCAAGUCGAACGGAGUGGUUCUCCCGAAGACCUGAAGAGCUUGCUCAGAUGGAGUUCAUUGAAUCACUUAGUGGCGGACGGGUGAGUAACGCGUGGGUAACCUGCCUCACACUGGGGGAUAGCAGUUGGAAACGACUGAUAAUACCGCAUAAGCGCACAGUAUCGCAUGAUACAGUGUGAAAAAACUCCGGUGGUGUGAGAUGGACCCGCGUCUGAUUAGCUAGUUGGUGAGGUAACGGCCCACCAAGGCAACGAUCAGUAGCCGGCCUGAGAGGGUGUACGGCCACAUUGGGACUGAGACACGGCCCAAACUCCUACGGGAGGCAGCAGUGGGGAAUAUUGGACAAUGGGGGAAACCCUGAUCCAGCCGACGCCGCGUGAACGAAGAAGUAUCUCGGUAUGUAAAGUUCUAUCAGCAGGGAAGAUAAUGACGGUACCUGACUAAGAAGCACCGGCUAAAUACGUGCCAGCCGCUGC
rnacentral:rRNA from 1 species